UACGUAGGGCGCAAGCGUUGUCCGGAAUUAUUGGGCGUAAAGAGCUCGUAGGCGGUUUGUCGCGUCGGCUGUGAAAACCCGAGGCUCAACCUCGGGCCUGCAGUCGAUACGGGCAGACUAGAGUGUGGUAGGGGAGACUGGAAUUCCUGGUGUAGCGGUGAAAUGCGCAGAUAUCAGGAGGAACACCCAUGGCGAAGGCAGCUCUCUGGCCUCACCCUGACGCUGAGGCGCGAAAGCGUGGGGAGCGAACGGG
rnacentral:rRNA from 1 species